rnacentral:misc_RNA from 1 species
UACGUAGGGGGCAAGCGUUGUCCGGAAUUACUGGGCGUAAAGCGCACGUAGGCGGAUUGUUUAGUCAGAGGUGAAAUCCCAGGGCUCAACCCUGGAACAGCCUUUGAUACUGGCAGUCUUGAGUCCGAGAGAGGUGAGUGGAAUUCCGAGUGUAGAGGUGAAAUUCGUAGAUAUUCGGAGGAACACCAGUGGCGAAGGCGGCUCACUGGCUCGGUACUGACGCUGAGGUGCGAAAGCGUGGGGAGCAAACAGG